UACAGAGGUCUCAAGCGUUGUUCGGAUUCAUUGGGCGUAAAGGGCGCGUAGGCGGCCGGCCAAGUCGGGGGUGAAAGCCUGUGGCUCAACCACAGAAUGGCCCUCGAUACUGGACGGCUCGAGACCGGAAGAGGUUGGUGGAAUUGCGAGUGUAGAGGUGAAAUUCGUAGAUAUUCGAAGAACACCAGUGGCGAAGGCGACUACUGGACCAGCAUAUUGACGCUGAGGUGCGAAAGCGUGGGGAGCAAACAGG
rnacentral:rRNA from 1 species